rnacentral:rRNA from 1 species
GACAGAGGGGGCAAGCGUUGCUCGGAAUUACUGGGCGUAAAGGGCGCGUAGGCGGUCACGACAAGUCAGUUGUGAAAUCUCCGGGCUUAACUCGGAACGGUCAACUGAUACUGUCGGACUAGAGUGCAGAAGGGGCAACUGGAAUUCUCGGUGUAGCGGUGAAAUGCGUAGAUAUCGAGAGGAACACCUGCGGCGAAGGCGGGUUGCUGGGCUGACACUGACGCUGAGGCGCGAAAGCUAGGGGAGCGAACGGG